rnacentral:rRNA from 1 species
GUGCCAGCCGCCGCGGCCAAUACGUAGGUGACAAGCGUUGUCCGGAUUUAUUGGGCGUAAAGCGAGCGCAGGCGGUCCGGUAAGUCUGAUGUGAAAGCCCACGGCUCAACCGUGGAACGGCAUUGGAAACUGGCGGACUUGAAUGUAGCAGAGGAAAGUGGAAUUCCAUGUGUAGCGGUGGAAUGCGUAGAUAUAUGGAGGAACACCAGUGGCGAAAGCGACUUUCUGGGCUAUGAUUGACGCUGAGGCUCGAAAGCGUGGGGAGCGAACAGGAUUAGAUACCCUGGUAGUCCACGCCGUAAACGAUGAGUGCUAAGUGUUGGAGGGUUUCCGCCCUUCAGUGCUGGAGUUAACGCAUUAAGCACUCCGCCUGGGGAUUACGACCGCAAGGUUGAAACUCAAAAGAAUUGACGGGGACCCGCACAAGCGGUGGAGCAUGUGGUUUAAUUCGAAGCAACGCGAAGAACCUUACCAGCUCUUGACAUCUUCUGCUAGCUUCAGAGAUGAAGGGUUCCUUCGGGGACAGAAUGACAGGUGGUGCAUGGUUGUCGUCAGCUCGUGUCGUGAGAUGUUGGGUUAAGUCCCGUAACGAGCGCAACCCUUAUUGUUAGUUGCCAGCAUUGAGUUGGGCACUCUAGCAAGACUGCCGGUGAUAAACCGGAGGAAGGCGGGGAUGACGUCAAAUCAUCAUGCCCCUUAUGAGCUGGGCUACACACGUGCUACAAUGGAUGGUACAACGAGUAGCGAGACCGCGAGGUUUAGCUAAUCUCCCAAAGCCAUUCUCAGUUCGGAUUGCAGGCUGCAACUCGCCUGCAUGAAGUCGGAAUCGCUAGUAAUCGCGGAUCAGAAUGCCGCGGUGAAUUCGUUCCCGGGUCUGGCACACACCGCCCGUC